rnacentral:lncRNA from 1 species
CCAGGAUGUUGAUAUUUAAGAAUAAAUACUUUAUCUUUUCAGAACAACAAUAAGAAGGCUGGUUUAGGCUUUAUCGCUGGAAAAUGGAGUUUGUGAAACAAAGAAGUAAUAGAUGCAUAGCAAGAGCUCAGUGUCCUUCCACAUUGUGUCACCGGUUGUACCCUGAGACAGAUUCUCCAAGUCUUAGAACAUGGAUAUGCAGUGAGAGUGAGGUUUACGUAGAAAAGUCUUUGUGUCUUGGGAGUGCCAUGUGUAUUGAAUGUCUAUGACUCAUGUCUCCCCUUGACUCACUUCUUGGCUGGGCUACAUGACUCAUCAGGCCUGGUAGGUUCAGGGCAGUGUAGCUGGUGGGGAAGGGCUAAGUGAAGAGGGGCUGUCUAGACCUGGGGAGCAUGGUUAUAAUGAGCUUUUUCAAACGUACAACUCAACUCUCUUGCACCUAGGAAGUAUCUUCAUCCAGAAGGAGUUCUCAGUCCUUUUUCUGCUUCACUGCUGAAGCC